UACGGAGGGUGCAAGCGUUAUCCGGAUUUACUGGGUUUAAAGGGUGUGUAGGCGGACUUUUAAGUCAGGGGUGAAAUCCCGAGGCUCAACCUCGGAACUGCCUUCAAUACUAUUGGUCUUGAAUGUUGUUGAGGUGGGCGGAACGGGUCAUGUAGCGGUGAAAUGCAUAGAUAUGACCCGGAACACCGAUUGCGAAGGCAGCCCGCUAAGCAACUAUUGACGCUGAGGCACGAAAGCGUGGGGAUCAAACAGG
rnacentral:rRNA from 1 species